rnacentral:snRNA from 1 species
AUGCCUUUCUCGACCUUUUGGCUAAGAUCAAGUGUAGUAUCUGUUCUUAUCAGUUUAAUAUCUGAUAAGUGGUUCAUAGAACCACAACACAAAAUGGUGAAUUGUUUGUUGGAUUGAAAUUGCUUUUGGAGUGCAGUAUGGCUUGACCUUACAAAACGUGUGCAGGAAGAAUCAAGACAGAAAGA